UUGAGAAACUGUUCUACUGUGAUAACCCGCAGCUUGCUCUCACAUGCUCGCUCACUGAAGCUAAGCAUGGCUGCGCCUGGUCAGUACCUGGAUGGGAGAACACAUGGGAAAGCUAGGUUGCUGCCUACC
rnacentral:rRNA from 1 species